AGUGAACGCUGGCGGUAGGCCUAACACAUGCAAGUCGAACGGCGGCACAGUAAGAGCUUGCUCUUACGGGUGGCGAGUGGCGGACGGGUGAGGAAUACAUCGGAAUCUACUUUUUCGUGGGGGAUAACGUAGGGAAACUUACGCUAAUACCGCAUACGACCUACGGGUGAAAGCAGGGGAUCUUCGGACCUUGCGCGAUUGAAUGAGCCGAUGUCGGAUUAGCUAGUUGGCGGGGUAAAGGCCCACCAAGGCGACGAUCCGUAGCUGGUCUGAGAGGAUGAUCAGCCACACUGGAACUGAGACACGGUCCAGACUCCUACGGGAGGCAGCAGUGGGGAAUAUUGGACAAUGGGCGCAAGCCUGAUCCAGCCAUACCGCGUGGGUGAAGAAGGCCUUCGGGUUGUAAAGCCCUUUUGUUGGGAAAGAAAAGCAGCAGGUUAAUACCCCGCUGUUCUGACGGUACCCAAAGAAUAAGCACCGGCUAACUUCGUA
rnacentral:rRNA from 1 species